rnacentral:rRNA from 1 species
UACGGAGGGGGCUAGCGUUGUUCGGAAUUACUGGGCGUAAAGCGCACGUAGGCGGCUUUGUAAGUUAGAGGUGAAAGCCCGGGGCUCAACUCCGGAAUUGCCUUUAAGACUGCAUCGCUUGAAUCCGGGAGAGGUGAGUGGAAUUCCGAGUGUAGAGGUGAAAUUCGUAGAUAUCGGGAGGAACACCAGUGGCGAAGGCGGUUGCCUGGAGCUUUGCUGACGCUGAGGCGCGAAAGCGUGGGGAGCGAUCCGG